AAUAGAUACCCUGGUAGUCCUGGCUGUAAACGAUGGGCACUAGGUGGCGGGCUCGCCGAUGGGCGCGCCACUCAAGCGAAAGCGUGAAGUGCCCCGCCUGGGGAGUAUGGUCGCAAGGCUGAAACUCGAAAGGAAUUGACGGGGGCUCACACAAGCGGUGGAGCAUGUGGCUCAAUUCGAGGCUACGCGAAGAACCUUAUCCUGGGCUUGACAUGCACGGAUUAGCCGGCGGAAACGUCGGCGAGGCCGCAAGGUACAACGUGCACAGGUGCUGCAUGGCUGUCGUCAGCUCGUGCCGUGAGGUGUUGGGUUAAGUCCCAUAACGAGCGCAACCCCUGUGGCCAGUUACCAGCGGGUAACGCCGGGAACUCUGGCCAGACCGCCGGCGUCAAGCCGGAGGAAGGCGGGGACGACGUCAAGUCAUCAUGGCCCUUAUGCCCAGGGCUGCACACGUGCUACAAUGGGGCGGACAGAGCGUCGCCAGGCCGCGAGGCCGCGCCAAUCGCAAAAACCGCCCCCAGGUUC
rnacentral:rRNA from 1 species